rnacentral:tRNA from 1 species
GGAGAUGUACUCAAGUGGUGAAGAGGCGCCCCUGCUAAGGGUGUAGGUCGAGCAAUCGGCGCGAGAGUUCAAAUCUCUCCAUCUCCGCCA